rnacentral:rRNA from 1 species
GACGGGGGGUCCAAGCGUUGUUCGGAAUCAUUGGGCGUAAAGCGUGUGCAGGUGGCUUUGUAAGUUGGAUGUGAAAGCCCCGGGCUUAACCUGGGAAGUGCAUUCAAGACUACAAAACUUGAGUAUGGAAGAGGGUCGUGGAAUUCCUGGUGUAGUGGUGAAAUACGUAGAUAUCAGGAGGAACACCGGUGGCGAAGGCGGCUCUCUGGACCACAACUGACGCUGAGGCGCGAAAGCGUGGGGAGCAAACAGG